rnacentral:rRNA from 1 species
GACGAACGCUGGCGGCGUGCUUAACACAUGCAAGUCGAACGGAAAGGCCCUGCUUUUGUGGGGUGCUCGAGUGGCGAACGGGUGAGUAACACGUGAGUAACCUGCCCUUGACUUUGGGAUAACUUCAGGAAACUGGGGCUAAUACCGGAUAGGAGCUCCUGCUGCAUGGUGGGGGUUGGAAAGUUUCGGCGGUUGGGGAUGGACUCGCGGCUUAUCAGCUUGUUGGUGGGGUAGUGGCUUACCAAGGCUUUGGCGGGUAGCCGGCCUGAGAGGGUGACCGGCCACAUUGGGACUGAGAUACGGCCCAGACUCCUACGGGAGGCAGCAGUGGGGAAUAUUGCGCAAUGGGCGGAAGCCUGAUGCAGCAACGCCGCGUGCGGGAUGACGGCCUUCGGGUUGUAAACCGCUUUCGCCUGUGACGAAGCGUGAGUGACGGUAAUGGGUAAAGAAGCACCGGCUAACUACGUG